AAAAUAAAUAACCGAUGUGGGAGUAGGCUAGUUGGAAGCCGAUCGAGUGUAGUGCAGUGGAUAUAUUAAUCGCUCUUUAAUCUUCGUUAUUUCACCUCAAACGGAACUGUCACCCUAACCACGGAGUCCUGGAGAUUGUGUUCUGCAUUGCCAGCCGGCACAAGCGGUGACAGGCAAGGCAUGUGAGGUGUCUCACAGCUUUACUAACUUAUGCAGGAUGAGAGUACAGGCUGCAGGCACGGAGUGUUUGACGAGGCAGUUAUCGCCACAGCACUUAGGGAAGUACUGAAGGGCCUUGAGUAUUUCCACAACAACGGACAAAUCCACAGCUCCUGGUGACCUAUGGUAAAGCACAGCAACAAAACUGUAAGCAUCCAAAAUUAGUCAAUGAUGGGUUGCGUGAAGCCUGAUGGAGUCGUCAGUUAUGGAUGCUGCUUCCGUGGCAGCUGGACCAGCACUGGUGUUGGAUGUGUAUGAACAGCUACACAAGCGUCUCAGCUGCUGUGAGAUGUAUGAUGACUGUGUUCUAGCACAUGAUGGAUAUGCAACUCAAAUAUAUCCACAUUUUUUCCAUAUGUGCUUUUCACAUGCAUUUUUGCUGUAUAGAUUUCUUUUGUGGUGACUACAGUCAGCUCGCCACUAAUGUGCAGUAUUCUGAUGCAAAUCACGUAUACUGCCUGGGAUCAGCUUGCUUGCGAGUCGUACCCUAACGGAAUUUAAAGCCUACUGCAUGGAUGGUCCGCAACAAAUUGUAAAAAUGUCUGUAACACUGAUAUCGAGGUAGCAAGUGCAGUUCCAAUCCCAACAUCACUAGCACUAUACACAGUGAUGCAAGUUUGGUGAGAAGAAUGAGCUGUAACUGCUGCAGCUGCCACCAUUGAUAGUGACAUCAACAGUGAGCAUUCAUCAGCUGUUUGUGUAAACAGUGGCUCAGUGUGGUCUUUUAAUGAAUGUUUGUGUACUGUAUAAGUCUUAAUUCAUUAUUUAAAAAAAUAUUUUUACAA